ACAGUGGAUCUAGAAGUUGGCAUUCAAACUUGCAAAGCUUGGCUGUUCCAUCCAAACAACGGCUGCGACGAACAGAAGCAUCUGUGAGCGGUUCUGCGUAAUCGGCCAUUUCAAAGGUGGAGGCCAAGGAGGUUCUCCUCUCGGACAUGCAAACAAUAAUUACUGAUGACACCAACGUGCACACUAUAAGUCCCCCUCAAUCCCGAUAUAGUUGUGUCACACUCUGCAUUUACAUUAUUAGUAUGUACUAGAUUCUAAAAGUUGAUUCAAGUUUAUAGUGCUUCAAAUCUGAAAGUUGAUAGAGUAAUUUGUCAAUUGAUUUGUACUGUAGUGCUUCAAGACUGAUUGCUCCGUGUUUGAUUCA